ncrna:unclassified sequences AdoCbl variant RNA
AUACUGAAAUGCAUGGUGGGAAAUCAGUGUGAAAUUCAUUGGCUGUUCCUGCAACGGUAAAGUCCGAGCGCCACCCAGUAU